AGCUUGCUCCCYGGGUGACGAGCGGCGGACGGGUGAGUAAUGUCUGGGAAACUGCCUGAUGGAGGGGGAUAACUACUGGAAACGGUAGCUAAUACCGCAUAACGUCGCAAGACCAAAGAGGGGGACCUUCGGGCCUCUUGCCAUCAGAUGUGCCCAGAUGGGAUUAGCUAGUAGGUGGGGUAAUGGCUCACCUAGGCGACGAUCCCUAGCUGGUCUGAGAGGAUGACCAGCCACACUGGAACUGAGACACGGUCCAGACUCCUACGGGAGGCAGCAGUGGGGAAUAUUGCACAAUGGGCGCAAGCCUGAUGCAGCCAUGCCGCGUGUGUGAAGAAGGCCUUCGGGUUGUAAAGCACUUUCAGCGAGGAGGAAGGUGGUGAACUUAAUACGUUCAUCAAUUGACGUUACUCGCAGAAGAAGCACCGGCUAACUCCGUGCCAGCAGCCGCGGUAAUACGGAGGGUGCAAGCGUUAAUCGGAAUUACUGGGCGUAAAGCGCACGCAGGCGGUUUGUUAAGUCAGAUGUGAAAUCCCCGGGCUCAACCUGGGAACUGCAUUUGAAACUGGCAAGCUAGAGUCUCGUAGAGGGGGGUAGAAUUCCAGGUGUAGCGGUGAAAUGCGUAGAGAUCUGGAGGAAUACCGG
rnacentral:rRNA from 1 species